AGAGGAGAUUGCCAUGAGCAUAGUCAGUCUAUUCUCAAGUUUUCAUGGACAGCUAAGCUUCCAGUUAGUAAGGAUAAGGUACAAAUAUACUUAGACAAAGCAUGACUGAUAAAUGACAGUUUGUCUGCUGCAAUAAUGUCCUCAUUUUAAGGCACUAUCAAGCUAGACACACCUCUUCAUCAUUAGAAACCUUCUAGAAACCUGACAUGGCCUUAGGGCCAUUUCAUCUUCAUGGGAAUUCACCUUUCCCAUACAAACUGAAUGAAAUUACUUCUAGUAGCACUCUAACAAAUGCUUGUUGAUUUGAUGUUUAUGGUUCAACUACAAGAUGCUGAAAUUGAUGGGUCACCUUUAUGCCUUUCCAAGAAUGAAUGAUCCCUUCAAUCAGUCAGAUGAGGAAACUGAUGCAAAUAGGAUUAUGUGAUUUGUCCAGGAAAAAAAAAGUAACUUUCCCAGGGAAAAAAAUAACCCUAUUUAUGUGGCUGAGGAUCAUGUAAAUAUUUUUUUUUCUUUUUUAAGAAGAGGAAGAUUAUCUGUGGCUGUUGAUCAUUUGCACCCCCAAUAGUUGUCAUUCAGAGAAGUAAACAGAAGUAAAAAGGUUGUGUAUAUGUGUCAAGGUCUUGGCUUUUGAAUGUUUCAGUCCACUCCCUCUCUUGUCAUAUCUGACCCCAAAUGAUGAAUAUUCAUUGAUGUCUAGCAGAGGUGAAAGGCAAUUUCACCUGUCAAAAGAGAAAGGUAAUAAAAAAAGGGUGAUCCUCUCCCUAAGCCUCUCU
rnacentral:lncRNA from 1 species